AACUGUGUGAGAGCCCUUCUUCUGAUGACGCGCGCUUCAUUUAGAAUUCUCUGGAACGUCUCUCGAGCCCAGAAAACCCCACUGGCCGGGAAGGCGACCACCCUGGAAUGUUGGGGACGAAGAAACCCCCCUCGGAGGAAAUCCUAUUGCUCGUCUUCUAUCGCCUUACUACCUCGACCUCCUCGUCCUCCUUCGCAACCCUAAGAAGGAUGCCUCCUUCCUUGCCGAGAUGGCCGUCUUCCUCCGAAGCGCCCCCGCCGCCGCCUUGCAGCCCUCUUUCGAAUGGUUGUGGUGCUAAAGAAAAUUACCACUGGAGCUAUGCUUUCACAUUCUGUGGCAUCGGAAGAAUUUCGUGAAGGAAUAAUAAGAUGCUUUAGGGUGAUGCUUCUCAAUUGACAACCUUGCUCUGUUAGUUCGUGUUCAUGCAAACAAAGGGUUAUCGUGCCUACAUCCAAAUCUAUUGAUGGUGCUUUUGUGCAUCAUAAUACUCUCUCAAGGGAUUGUGUUGAAUCACUAGAAUGUUUGCUAGCAUUUCUCCAAUCUCAAAAUGCUUCAGCUGCAGUAGGGCAUUGGCUAUCACUUCUUCUCCAAGCUGCUGAACUUGAGGCACUGAGAGGACACUGUGGAAGUGCAAAUCUCCGGAAAGAGGCAUUUCUGACCCUUCGAGUCCUUGUUGCCAAGAUGCGAGCUGUAUCCUGAGUUAGAGGUCCUUGGUAGGCAUCAACACCCAAAUUUAACUAUUCCAUUUCUAAAGGCUGUGGGUGAAAUUGCAAAGGCAUCACAAACUGAAGCAUCUUCUUUGCCAGAUCAGACUGAAUGAUUGGCACAUGACCAUGAAAUCUGCCAAAUUAUGUUUCAUUGAAUUUUGUGAGUAUUAAUUUAAGAAAUUGCUUUUAUUUGUAAAAUUGUACUGUAUUAAUUUAAGAAUUUUGUGAGUAUUAAUUUUGUGAUUAGGCAAUGAUUUUACUGUAUAUUGCUUUUAUUUGUAAAAUUGUACUAAAAAUUCCUACAUUACUGUGAUCUUCGCCCAGACAGAUAUCUCAUAUUUCAAAUUGUACUAUUUAGUAUAUCUGAUAUCAUGAAGAAAUAUGACUAAGAGUGUAGAAGUUUAGUUGCUUUCACAUGUGAUUGCCAUAUUUAACUAACAAACUAAGCACUUUGAUCAUAAAAUUUUAUACACUCCCCCAGUGAAAGAACACUUUUCUAAAAACAAAGAAUUAGUUCUCUUUGAAGAUGCGAAAGUGGAGACAGAUUAAAUAGUUAUCUUCUGUGGUUUAGCAGGCUUCCAGUGCUAUUUUUUUCUCAUUUCUUUGUUUCAAUUGGUAUAUUGUUAUUAUGAUAUUUUUAAUCUAGUGUUUGAAUAUUUUAUGUAGUCUUUCAAGGUUCUCUUUGUUCAAUGCAAGUGCUAUUUGGAAUAAUUUCCCAUUGCCUUUUUGUUCUAAUUUGACAACCAGAAAUUGGAUCUGUCAAUUUUGAUGAUGUUAGUCUUCACUUGGAAUAUUGGGAGGAAUUAUUGUUUAAGUUUAAUGAGAUGAAAAGAUACAGAAGAAUUGUUGGAUCUCUUGUUGGAUCAUGCUUAAAAGCUGCAUCACCACUUGUUUCUUCACAGAAAGAAUCAGCUUGUCUGGUGUCUCUGGACAUUUAUUGAGGUACUUGCUUGAUAUGUUUUUUGAUAAAACAGUUUUGGCCAAAUGAAUCUCUUUCUAAUUCUCAUUCUGCUGUUGCAAAUACUAUUUGGUGUUUAAUUGUCAGAAGGCAGCUCAAUGCACAGGGGCACCCAUUAAUGCAGGUCUGGGAAGGGUCAAUUAUGCAGUUCUUUCUUUCAGUCAGGGAGAAUUAAAUUUAGUCUUUCUCAAUUUAAGUUUCUACUAUAUAAAGGGAAAACACAAAUUAAGCUCAGCCAUUUCAGUAUUUAUUGUGAUGUGAGGAAACCUCUUAGUUACCUGUGUUUAAAGUGAAACCUUACAAGUGACUUUAAAGAAAAAAAAAUCUGGAUUGAAAAUAAGAAAAGAACAAAGGACAGCACAUGUUGCUUCACAAGUAGGAUACCUUUUCAUGUUGAUGACCCUUUUCGAUUGUUUAGCAUUUCUUUGUUUGAUAGCAGUAUUUUCAAACUAAUGGGGCUAUGUAAUUUUAGUGGAAAAUUAAUUGAUUACUUAUUCAUAAACGGCAACUUGGAUUUCUGAAAUUUUUUGACAUGAGGAUACUUGGGUAGAUGGCUUACCAUUAUGUACCUAUCAGAUACCUUAUUCAUUAGAUAAUUUUUUGGUACAAGUGAUCUGUGCUUAGUCUGUGAAUUCAAAAUUUUUUACUACCAUUCAUACGCAUUAUGCUUUUCAUGGAGUGUAUUUUGCAAAUGGAUCUUCUUACGAAUGACAAGCUAUUAAUGAUGGAUAGAAUGAUUACUGGCUACAUAAUGUAGUUUGCUUGUCAUUUGCAAGGUUAUAAAGUUGGACAAAUUUUGAAGUCUAUGUUUACCUAAAAUCCAAUGAUUACAAACUAGAAAUUCUUUAAGCAAUAGGAACAUGUACAUUGCCAUGCAGAUUUUCGAUUAUGUAGGUCCAAAUGAAGGUUUUUUAAAGCUUUAUUUUCAUUUGGAUCUGUUAUUUUAGAUGUUUAUUUUUGAAGAAAGUUCAUUUGGCUCUGCUAUAAUAGUCGUUUAUUCUGUGACUUGUUCUGGAUUAUUGUAACAGGGAAGCCAUUGUUUUGCUAAGUGAAAGGCUUGCAUUUACCAUCUCUUUGUUCUUUAUAUAACUAUAUGCUUGUCAAGGAUUUUAAGAUGUCGACCAUUUGGAGAUGUUACUGUAUUAUUUCCCUAAAUCAUGUGUUUCGUUGUGGCUUUCAGUUUCUAGAAGUGCCACUUUUAUUGGGGUAGCAACCAUGAAAAGUCAGAACAUGUUCUGAAUGUUGUUAUAUGGUUCAAUUGGGAAAAUGAACUGUUCUGAGUAUGAUUUCAAGUUUGUCAUAAUUUCCUUGGUGUAGGAUACUUUGGGUCAUGGGUACAAUCCAAGCAUGGGCCAUGCUGCUUGGUUUUUGGUAUGUGGGGGUAGGGAUAAUGUUGACUUUUUUGGAUUAGUUCCUGAUAGUUCUGUUGCUUUUCGGUCGUGUUCACUUAGUAAGUUGGGGAUGUUUCUGUAUCUCUUGCAAAAGUGGAGGAAGCUUAUAAGCACGAGAAACAAACCAAAGCAGCAAUCUGGGAAGCAGUUCAGUUGCUAUCACUAAAUGAUCUGAAAGAUGGGAUGGAGGCUGCAGAUGAGGAAGCUGACGAGAACAGAGUGCUUCCAGCAAUGAACAUAAUCUGGCCUUAUUUGAUUCUUUGCCUUAAAAAUAAGGUUUCAGUGGUUGUGAUCAGGAAAUGCUUGAAUAUGCUGCAUAAAGCAGUUCAAAUUGGUGGCGGGGACUUUUAUGUUCGCCGGUUUCAGAAUGAUGGGCAUACUAUAUGGAAGUUGCUUACUUCAUCCCCAUUUCGAAGGAAACCAAUGCUAUCAAAUGAGGAAAGAAUUCUUCUCCCUUACCGAAGUAAUUCUAUCACACUUCAGAAGAACCUAUGGCUGAAGUCUCCAGCCAAAAAAUCCAGUCUGCAGUAUUGGACAUGAUUACCAUGAUAUGUUCGGACAAGAGGACUAAUUCAGCAUUACAGACAGUCCUGAAGAAGGUUAGUGGUAUUGUCGUAGGUAUUGCUUGCAGUAGCAUGGCAGGUCUCAAAGAUGCAUCUCUAAGGGCAUUAUCAGGACUUGCUUGCUUUGAUUCAGACCUUACCUGGCUUCUGCUUGCGGACGUCUACUAUUCCCUGAAUAGAAGGGGGAUGUUAUCCUUCCACCAUGUCGAGAUCUGGCGGGGAUUUCUGAGCUGCUUCCUGCCGCAUCAUCCAAAAAGGAAUAUUUGUUUGUGAAUUAUGCAGGAGAAGAUUUACUCUGUAAAUUUGUGGGAGAUGUUAAGAAUCAUUGAGAAUGUAAAAGGGCAUUAGAUGUCACUUUGCACAUGGUAGUUAUAAGAUUAUGUUACAUGCGGAGGCUUUUAGUGCACGUUUCCCAAAUGUUCGAGGCAAUGUUUUCAAAGGGCAUUUUCCUUUUCUAGCAAGGCAAGUUUGGGCGACUUUUCUUUAGUGAGAUAAUUUCUUAUAUAUUCUGUCUCAUGGUGUUAAAUGAUUUCAUUUGUAUGAUGUUCAUGAAACUCUGAAAUCUACUCAAAUGUUUGGUUAUCAUACCAUUAAUAUUGUGUGA